rnacentral:sRNA from 1 species
AUUAAUGAGUUUAAAUCCUCCAACUAUGUUCUUACCUGUCUUAGAAAAGCUGAAGUGCUAGGUAAUGCUGGGUACCAGACCCAGAAGACAAUUUCGUAGACUUGCAGAGCUGCAACGGAAGCAAAAGGAACUACAGAGACCCGAGAGUAUUCUGAGAGAAGCCUCACAAAGUGUAUUGGAAUUACUAUUGAAACCAGACCAGAUUACUGCAUGAAGCGGCAUUUAAGUGACAUGUUGACCUAUGGCUGCACAAGGCUGGAGAUUGGGGUGCAGAGUGUUUAUGAAGAUGUGGCUAGAGACACCAACAGAGGCCACACUGUGAAGGCAGUCUGUGAGUCAUUUCACCUGGCCAAAGAUUCCGGUUUCAAAGUGGUGGCCCAUAUGAUGCCUGACCUGCCAAAUGUGGGACUAGAAAGAGACAUUGAACAGUUCACAGAGUUUUUUGAGAACCCUGCUUUUCGUCCCGAUGGUCUGAAACUCUAUCCUACCCUGGUGAUUCGUGGGACCGGGCUUUAUGAGCUUUGGAAAUCAGGAAGAUAUAAGAGUUACUCUCCUAGUGACCUGGUCGAAUUGGUGGCUCGGAUCCUAGCCCUCGUGCCUCCAUGGACUCGAGUGUACCGAGUGCAGAGGGAUAUUCCAAUGCCUUUAGUUAGCUCAGGAGUAGAGCAUGGUAACCUGAGAGAGCUGGCACUUGCAAGAAUGAAAGACCUCGGAAUACAGUGUCGAGAUGUGAGAACCAGAGAAGUUGGAAUCCAAGAAAUUCAUCACAAAGUACGGC